rnacentral:lncRNA from 1 species
GGCAACCACUGCAGAAGCACACAGCACAGGGCCCUGCUUGAUUAGCACUUCUGCUGUUUCGAGAGUCCUGGAGUGUUUUGUUCAAGCACUGAAACUGUUGGCACGCUCCAUUGUGAGAUGGGGAUUGUGCAGACUCCAAAGAGAAAAGCAAACAGGCACCAAUACAAUAACAGCUGCUUCCAACUGUAACACCUGACGCAAAGAUGUUAAAC